rnacentral:rRNA from 1 species
GGGUUGUGAGGUUAAGCGACUAAGCGUACACGGUGGAUGCCCUGGCAGUCAGAGGCGAUGAAGGACGUGCUAAUCUGCGAUAAGCGUCGGUAAGGUGAUAUGAACCGUUAUAACCGGCGAUUUCCGAAUGGGGAAACCCAGUGUGUUUCGACACACUAUCAUUAACUGAAUCCAUAGGUUAAUGAGGCGAACCGGGGGAACUGAAACAUCUAAGUACCCCGAGGAAAAGAAAUCAACCGAGAUUCCCCCAGUAGCGGCGAGCGAACGGGGAGCAGCCCUGAGCCUGAAUCAGUGUGUGUGUUAGUGGAAGCGUCUGGAAAGGCGCGCGAUACAGGGUGACAGCCCCGUACACAAAAAUGCACAUGCUGUGAGCUCGAUGAGUAGGGCGGGACACGUGGUAUCCUGUCUGAAUAUGGGGGGACCAUCCUCCAAGGCUAAAUACUCCUGACUGACCGAUAGUGAACCAGUACCGUGAGGGAAAGGCGAAAAGAACCCCGGCGAGGGGAGUGAAAAAGAACCUGAAACCGUGUACGUACAAGCAGUGGGAGCACGCUUAGGCGUGUGACUGCGUACCUUUUGUAUAAUGGGUCAGCGACUUAUAUUCUGUAGCAAGGUUAACCGAAUAGGGGAGCCGAAGGGAAACCGAGUCUUAACUGGGCGUUAAGUUGCAGGGUAUAGACCCGAAACCCGGUGAUCUAGCCAUGGGCAGGUUGAAGGUUGGGUAACACUAACUGGAGGACCGAACCGACUAAUGUUGAAAAAUUAGCGGAUGACUUGUGGCUGGGGGUGAAAGGCCAAUCAAACCGGGAGAUAGCUGGUUCUCCCCGAAAGCUAUUUAGGUAGCGCCUCGUGAAUUCAUCUCCGGGGGUAGAGCACUGUUUCGGCAAGGGGGUCAUCCCGACUUACCAACCCGAUGCAAACUGCGAAUACCGGAGAAUGUUAUCACGGGAGACACACGGCGGGUGCUAACGUCCGUCGUGAAGAGGGAAACAACCCAGACCGCCAGCUAAGGUCCCAAAGUCAUGGUUAAGUGGGAAACGAUGUGGGAAGGCCCAGACAGCCAGGAUGUUGGCUUAGAAGCAGCCAUCAUUUAAAGAAAGCGUAAUAGCUCACUGGUCGAGUCGGCCUGCGCGGAAGAUGUAACGGGGCUAAACCAUGCACCGAAGCUGCGGCAGCGACGCUUAUGCGUUGUUGGGUAGGGGAGCGUUCUGUAAGCCUGUGAAGGUGUGCUGUGAGGCAUGCUGGAGGUAUCAGAAGUGCGAAUGCUGACAUAAGUAACGAUAAAGCGGGUGAAAAGCCCGCUCGCCGGAAGACCAAGGGUUCCUGUCCAACGUUAAUCGGGGCAGGGUGAGUCGACCCCUAAGGCGAGGCCGAAAGGCGUAGUCGAUGGGAAACAGGUUAAUAUUCCUGUACUUGGUGUUACUGCGAAGGGGGGACGGAGAAGGCUAUGUUGGCCGGGCGACGGUUGUCCCGGUUUAAGCGUGUAGGCUGGUUUUCCAGGCAAAUCCGGAAAAUCAAGGCUGAGGCGUGAUGACGAGGCACUACGGUGCUGAAGCAACAAAUGCCCUGCUUCCAGGAAAAGCCUCUAAGCAUCAGGUAACAUCAAAUCGUACCCCAAACCGACACAGGUGGUCAGGUAGAGAAUACCAAGGCGCUUGAGAGAACUCGGGUGAAGGAACUAGGCAAAAUGGUGCCGUAACUUCGGGAGAAGGCACGCUGAUAUGUAGGUGAAGUCCCUCGCGGAUGGAGCUGAAAUCAGUCGAAGAUACCAGCUGGCUGCAACUGUUUAUUAAAAACACAGCACUGUGCAAACACGAAAGUGGACGUAUACGGUGUGACGCCUGCCCGGUGCCGGAAGGUUAAUUGAUGGGGUUAGCCGCAAGGCGAAGCUCUUGAUCGAAGCCCCGGUAAACGGCGGCCGUAACUAUAACGGUCCUAAGGUAGCGAAAUUCCUUGUCGGGUAAGUUCCGACCUGCACGAAUGGCGUAAUGAUGGCGAGGCUGUCUCCACCCGAGACUCAGUGAAAUUGAACUCGCUGUGAAGAUGCAGUGUACCCGCGGCAAGACGGAAAGACCCCGUGAACCUUUACUAUAGCUUGACACUGAACAUUGAGCCUUGAUGUGUAGGAUAGGUGGGAGGCUUAGAAGUGUGGACGCCAGUCUGCAUGGAGCCGACCUUGAAAUACCACCCUUUAAUGUUUGAUGUUCUAACGUUGACCCGUAAUCCGGGUUGCGGACAGUGUCUGGUGGGUAGUUUGACUGGGGCGGUCUCCUCCUAAAGAGUAACGGAGGAGCACGAAGGUUGGCUAAUCUGGUCGGACAUCAGGAGGUUAGUGCAAUGGCAUAAGCCAGCUUGACUGCGAGCGUGACGGCGCGAGCAGGUGCGAAAGCAGGUCAUAGUGAUCCGGUGGUUCUGAAUGGAAGGGCCAUCGCUCAACGGAUAAAAGGUACUCCGGGGAUAACAGGCUGAUACCGCCCAAGAGUUCAUAUCGACGGCGGUGUUUGGCACCUCGAUGUCGGCUCAUCACAUCCUGGGGCUGAAGUAGGUCCCAAGGGUAUGGCUGUUCGCCAUUUAAAGUGGUACGCGAGCUGGGUUUAGAACGUCGUGAGACAGUUCGGUCCCUAUCUGCCGUGGGCGCUGGAGAACUGAGGGGGGCUGCUCCUAGUACGAGAGGACCGGAGUGGACGCAUCACUGGUGUUCGGGUUGUCAUGCCAAUGGCACUGCCCGGUAGCUAAAUGCGGAAGAGAUAAGUGCUGAAAGCAUCUAAGCACGAAACUUGCCCCGAGAUGAGUUCUCCCUGACUCCUUGAGAGUCCUGAAGGAACGUUGAAGACGACGACGUUGAUAGGCCGGGUGUGUAAGCGCAGCGAUGCGUUGAGCUAACCGGUACUAAUGAACCGUGAGGCUUAACCUUACAACGCCGAAGGUGUUU